UUUGUAGCAUUUUAGUUAGAGUUAUAGAAAAAUCUAUAACUCUUAUUUUGUUAAGUAAAAAAAAAAUCUUAUGCUCUUCUAAUUUUAGUCACCAAUAACAACUAUGUUAGGAAUAGUAGAAAAUGUUAUGUGUGGUAGAGAAACUGUUUUAGUGUGGUGUUGUAGGAGUACUGCGGGUCUAAGAAACUUUGUUUUCAUCGAUAAAUUAUUCUAUUGGUCUAUUAAAACAGUAUGAAAACUUUCCAGUAUUUAUAUUCGAUGUCUUUUUUUCAUUUUAUUUUAUAAUUGUAAUUUAAGUUUCAAAAAGCAGCAAAAACAACUUGAAAAGAACUAUCGCACAAUGACUCGCUUAAACACAGGAUUCCAAUUUCCUGAUAUACAUGGAAAUGCUGAUAUUGCUUUCACUAUAUUGUCUCUUUGUAAUGUGUAACAUCAUUUUUACUUAGGUUUGCCAAAUGACCGGCUUUUACAGAGUAGAAUAUAGUCCCAAACAUAUACAGUUCAGUUCUUUUACUGCUUUCUUCUUCAUAAAAGCCGGACGUCUUGCAACCCUUGAAUUUCCCCUUCUUUUUGUUUGCAUAAAUUACAUAAUUCUCUUAAUUAUAAAUACUCCAAAUCCGAUUUUCGAACAGCGUAUUUUAAAAUCUAAAGAAAUAUAAGCGAUUAAAGAUUACAUUUUGCAAGCCAACUGGAUGCUUAAACAACUCAAAAGACAGCCACGCGCUCAUUAUAGCUCUCUUAUAGUUUUAGAAUCUGAGUGAGUUACUGUUUUGAAUAUCUAAAAUCUUCAAAUUAAGUUUUUAUGAUUUUAAGUUAAAUUAGACUUAAGAAUAUGUGUAAGAAUUGAGAAUAAAUAUUUACUUUUUAUUUUAGAAAUGAACACACAAGAAAAUUUAAACGACGAUGAUGGUGACUUUUUUAGAAAAAAAUUAGAAGAUUUACAAAAGUCCAUAGGUGAGUAAAAUUGCUUUUAUGUUUAUUAUACACCCUAAUUAUUUAUGUACAUCUAAUAUUAAAUGCGUUUUUUCAAUUUGAGAUUAGUUUUGGACUUUGUACUUUUUGGUCAAUUUUUUUAGAUAUCAUUUUAAACUACAUUUGUAAGUAACUAUAUUAUGUUUUAUGUCUCAUAAAAGUUUUAAUAAAUAAUAUAAUGUAAUCACUUAUAUAGUGACAAAUCCAACUUCCUCAGUAACGUAUGUUGUUGUACUCACUUAUACUUGACUUAAUUUAUGGAUUAAUUGGUUUUAUUGCAUUUUUAAUUUUCUUUUAUU
rnacentral:lncRNA from 1 species